rnacentral:rRNA from 1 species
CAGCAGCCACGGGAAAACGGAGGGAGCUAGCGUUGUUCGGAAUUACUGGGCGUAAAGCGCACGUAGGCGGUUAUUCAAGUCAGAGGUGAAAGCCCGGGGCUCAACCCCGGAACUGCCUUUGAAACUAGAUGACUAGAAUCUUGGAGAGGUCAGUGGAAUUCCGAGUGUAGAGGUGAAAUUCGUAGAUAUUCGGAAGAACACCAGUGGCGAAGGCGACUGACUGGACAAGUAUUGACGCUGAUGCACGAAAGCUAGGGGAGCAAACAGGAUUAGAUACCCCUGUAGUCCCUGUCUCUUAUAA